AGCCUCAUUCUGUACGACAACAGGCACUGUUUUUGUGUGUGGUGCCCAGAAAUUGUUAAUAGGGCUACCCUGAGACACCGGUUUUACUUCCAUCACAGUAAUUGCACUGUAAUAGUAACAAUGAGACCUGUAACUUUU